GACGAACGCUGGCGGCGUGCUUAACACAUGCAAGUCGAGCGGAGCUGCGAACGGGUGAGUAACGCGUGAGUAACUGCCCCCCUCUCUGGGCUAACAGUUGGAAACGGCUGCUAAAAACGGAUAGUGGGGGAUGACUCGCGUCCUAUCAGCUUGUUGGUGGGGUAUUGGCCUACCAAGGCGACGACGGGUAGCCGGCCGGCGAGGGCGACCGGCCACAUUGGGCGGAGAUACGGCCCAAACUCCUACGGGAGGCAGCAGUGGCGAAUAUUGCCCAAUGGGGGAAAGCCUGAUGCGGCAGCGCCGCGUGCGGGAUGUCGGCCUUCGGGUUGUAAACCGCUUUCAGCCAUGACGCGGUAGUGGCAGAAGAAGCACCGGCUAACUACGUGCCAGCAGCCGCGGUAAUUC
rnacentral:rRNA from 1 species